rnacentral:rRNA from 1 species
CCUACGGGUGGCUGCAGUGGGGAAUAUUGGACAAUGGGGGGAACCCUGAUCCAGCCAUGCCGCGUGGGUGAAGAAGGCCCUCGGGUUGUAAAGCACUUUCAGUGAGGAAGAACGCCUGGUGGUUAAUACCCAUCAGGAAAGACAUCACUCACAGAAGAAGCACCGGCUAACUCCGUGCCAGCAGCCGCGGUAAUACGGAGGGUGCGAGCGUUAAUCGGAAUUACUGGGCGUAAAGCGCGCGUAGGUGGCUUGAUAAGCCGGUUGUGAAAGCCCCGGGCUCAACCUGGGAACGGCAUCCGGAACUGUCAAGCUAGAGUGCAGGAGAGGAAGGUAGAAUUCCCGGUGUAGCGGUGAAAUGCGUAGAGAUCGGGAGGAAUACCAGUGGCGAAGGCGGCCUUCUGGACUGACACUGACACUGAGGUGCGAAAGCGUGGGUAGCAAACAGGAUUAGAUACCCCUGUAGUC